CAUAUCAAUAAGCGGAGGAAAAGAAACCAACAGGGAUUGCCUCAGUAGCGGCGAGUGAAGCGGCAAGAGCUCAGAUUUGAAAUCGUGCUUUGCGGCACGAGUUGUAGAUUGCAGGUUGGAGUCUGUGUGGAAGGCGGUGUCCAAGUCCCUUGGAACAGGGCGCCCAGGAGGGUGAGAGCCCCGUGGGAUGCCGGCGGAAGCAGUGAGGCCCUUCUGACGAGUCGAGUUGUUUGGGAAU
rnacentral:rRNA from 1 species